rnacentral:snoRNA from 1 species
CGCCUGAUGACCAUUUGCUUUUGAUUCCUGAUCAUUCCAAACCAAGAUCUGUUCUGAUG